GCCGGAGUAGCUCAGCUGGUAGAGCAUUCGCCUUGUAAGCGAAAGGCCCCGGGUUCGAUCCCCGGCUCCGGCUUCA
rnacentral:tRNA from 1 species